rnacentral:misc_RNA from 1 species
GAGUGUAGCGGCUCUGAGCAG